rnacentral:rRNA from 1 species
ACGGGUGAGUAACACGUAUCCAACCUGCCGUCUACUCUUGGACAGCCUUCUGAAAGGAAGAUUAAUACAAGAUGGCAUCAUGAGUCCGCAUGUUCACAUGAUUAAAGGUAUUCCGGUAGACGAUGGGGAUGCGUUCCAUUAGAUAGUAGGCGGGGUAACGGCCCACCUAGUCUUCGAUGGAUAGGGUUCUGAGAGGAAGGUCCCCCACAUUGGAACUGAGACACGGUCCAA